UCGGUUACAGUUGAUUCUCAACUGAUGCUGGGGUCAGGUCCUGAGAACUCCACCAUAAAUUGAAAAUAUCACUGAUUCAAAAGUGUAUUUAAGGGGCUGGGGGGCCUAAUCACUUGCCUUACAAGACUGAGGGACUGAGUUCAUCCUCCAGAGCUCAUACUUAAAAACAGAACCCUGGCUAUUGGUGAGAUGGUUCGGCAGUGUAGCUCAGACUGACUCCAAAGGUGAGACCCUUCCUCCUCAGGCUCCCAAGUGCUGGGGUUACAGAUGUGGACCACCACAUCUGGAGUGACUGAACACCAAUGGCCAACUUGACAGUCUUCAGGAUCACCAUGGAAACAAACCUCUGGGCAUGUCUGUGAGGAAGCUUCUAGAUAAGGCCUAUGGACGCACUGUGAGCUACCAAACGCCUCAAGCUCCCACCAUGCUCUCCUGUCAUGACGGACUGUAGUCUUGGGCCAUGAACAACAUAAACUGUUCCUUUCCACAGCUUCUGUCGGGCAUUCUGCCACAGCAGUGCACAGCACACCUCACACAGCUGAGGCUAGAGGAGGGGGAACAAUAAAAGAGUAGCCGUGCACAGAUGCACACCCGUUAGUCAUCCCAGAUCAAGAGUUCAAAGUCUUCCUCAGCUACACAAUGCGUUCAAGG